rnacentral:rRNA from 1 species
GAUGAACGCUGGCGGCGUGCCUAAUACAUGCAAGUCGAACGGUACUCUUUCGGGAGUACAGUGGCGAACGGGUGAGUAAUACAUAAGGAACCUGCCCUCGGGACCGGGAUAGCUGAUGGAAACGUCAGGUAAUAGCGGAUGUGAGUCAUUAUGGCAUCAUGAUGACUUGAAAGGAUGCAGCAAUGCAUCGCGCGGGGAUGGCCUUAUGGCGCAUUAGCCAGUUGGCGGGGUAACGGCCCACCAAAGCGAUGAUGCGUAGCCGAUCUGAGAGGACGACCGGCCACAUUGGGACUGAGACACGGCCCAGACUCCUACGGGAGGCAGCAGUGGGGAAUAUUGCACAAUGGGCGCAAGCCUGAUGCAGCGACGCCGCGUGAGCGAAGAAGGUUUUCGGAUCGUAAAGUUCUGUUCUCUGGGAAGAAAAAUAGACGGUACCAGAGGAGGAAGCCCUGGCUAACUACGUGCCAGCAGCCG